AUUGAACGCUGGCGGCAGGCCUAACACAUGCAAGUCGAGCGGAUGAAGGGAGCUUGCUCCUGGAUUCAGCGGCGGACGGGUGAGUAAUGCCUAGGAAUCUGCCUGGUAGUGGGGGAUAACGUCCGGAAACGGGCGCUAAUACCGCAUACGUCCUGAGGGAGAAAGUGGGGGAUCUUCGGACCUCACGCUAUCAGAUGAGCCUAGGUCGGAUUAGCUAGUUGGUGGGGUAAAGGCCUACCAAGGCGACGAUCCGUAACUGGUCUGAGAGGAUGAUCAGUCACAGGGGAGAUGAGACCCGGUCCAGCCCCCGACGGGAGGCACCGGUGGGGAAUUUUGGACAAGGGGCGAAGGCGUGAACCAGCCAUGCCGCGGGGGGAAAGAAGGCCUUCGGUUUGUAAAGCACUUUAAGUUGGGGGGAAGGGCGGUAAUUUAAUACCUUGCUGUUUUAACGUUACCAAAAGAAUAGGCCCCGCCAAACUUGUU
rnacentral:rRNA from 1 species